rnacentral:rRNA from 1 species
UACGUAGGGGGCAAGCGUUGUCCGGAUUUAUUGGGCGUAAAGAGCGUGUAGGCGGCCUGAAAGGUCAGCUGUGAAAACUCGAGGCUCAACCUCGAGACGUCGGUUGAAACCAUCUGGCUAGAGUCCGGAAGAGGAGUGUGGAAUUCCCGGUGUAGCGGUGAAAUGCGCAGAUAUCGGGAGGAACACCAAUGGCGAAGGCAGCUCGCUGGGACGUGACUGACGCUGAGACGCGAAAGCGUGGGGAGCAAACAGG